CGCUGCAGAAGCCUUCUCUCCCCUGCCUGCCCCGGAAAACGGUGACAUCCCAGGGCUUUCCGCUCGCUGGAAGCCCCCUAGGAUCCUGUCAAGACGCCCCCGCAGAGGACGCGGGGCCCCGCCACACAUCGGGGGCCGAAGAGGACCAGGCGGGCUCCCCUUCCCCGCCCCCACCGGGCGCCCAGCCUCCGGACUGCCUUCCUCAGGGACCCCGGGGCUCCCCAGUACGGGGGCGCGGCGCUUGGCUCCCCGGGCGAGAGGCGCCGGCGAAGUUCCCACCUGAGCCGGCGGCCGGAGAUCGCGGGAGAGCCCAAUCACGGGGCGAGCUGGACCUGGCUGUGAUCAUUUAUAAUCCUUGACUCCUCCGCUCCGCCACUUGUCAAGAUGACAGGGGUCAUCCGUGAAUAACACUUCACGCUGAUGAAUGGCUCUUGCUGGCUUUCGGCUCUGAUGACGGGUCUGCCCGCAGCUGAUUGCAAACACUAAUGAACUUACUGCGCCAUUUGAAAUUCACACGCACCAACAAAGUGCGGGGGGUGGGCAUUGCAGGUCAGCUGAGUCACCCGAGGAGGUGGGAGUGCAAGACACUG
rnacentral:antisense_RNA from 1 species